rnacentral:rRNA from 1 species
CAAACUGGAGAUGGCGACCGGCGCACGGGUGAGUAACACGUAUCCAACCUGCCGAUAACUCGGGGAUAGCCUUUCGAAAGAAAGAUUAAUACCCGAUGGCAUAAUAGAACCGCAUGGUUUGAUUAUUAAAGAAUUUCGGUUAUCGAUGGGGAUGCGUUCCAUUAGGCAGUUGGUGGGGUAACGGCCCACCAAACCUUCGAUGGAUAGGGGUUCUGAGAGGAAGGUCCCCCACAUUGGAACUGAGACACGGCCAAACUCCUACGGGAGGCAGCAUG